AGUGAACGCUGGCGGUAGGCCUAACACAUGCAAGUCGAACGGCAGCACAGUAAGAGCUUGCUCUUACGGGUGGCGAGUGGCGGACGGGUGAGGAAUACAUCGGAAUCUACUUUUUCGUGGGGGAUAACGUAGGGAAACUUACGCUAAUACCGCAUACGACCUACGGGUGAAAGCAGGGGAUCUUCGGACCUUGCGCGAUUGAAUGAGCCGAUGUCGGAUUAGCUAGUUGGCGGGGUAAAGGCCCACCAAGGCGACGAUCCGUAGCUGGUCUGGGAGGAUGAUCAGCCACACUGGAACUGAGACACGGUCCAGACUCCUACGGGAGGCAGCAGUGGGGAAUAUUGGACAAUGGGCGCAAGCCUGAUCCAGCCAUACCGCGUGGGUGAAGAAGGCCUUCGGGUUGUAAAGCCCUUUUGUUGGGAAAGAAAAGCGGCAGGUUAAUACCCCGCUGUUCUGACGGUACCCAAAGAAUAAGCACCGGCUAACUUCGUG
rnacentral:rRNA from 1 species